AUCCGCUUUAGAUGCAUACAAUUGGCACAUCAUGGCAAUCAGCUUUAGAUGCAUACAAUUGGUACACCAGGACAAUCCUCUUUAGAUGCAUAAAAUUGGUACACCAUGACAAUCACUUUUAGAUGCAUACAGUUGGCACACCAUGGCAAUCAGGUUUAGAAGCAUAAACUAGGCACGUCAUGGCAAUCCGUUUUAGAGGCAUACAAUUGGCACACCAUGGCAUUCAGCUUGAGAUGCAUAAACUUGAC